rnacentral:lncRNA from 1 species
UGUGAACAGAGUUGUUACCUAUCAUAAUUCUUAACGCUCUGAAGACUCAGAACAUAUUCUCUUAGAAAAGAUGGUUUUAUUUUACAUAACACGUUAAAUCUUUUUGUUGAUGUGGUAUUAGAAAGGAAAUGUUCUUGGGUUGUCACCAGGCAAAUUUUUUAUUGAUUUAUUCUUUUAUUAUUAAGUAGAGUUUAUCCAUUGUGUGAUUCUAAGAGUUCUGGGUUAGGAGUAUGACUGGAGGAGAGCAUGCUGCGUUAUCGCUGCCAUGCUUCAGGCAGGCACGAUCUGGAUGCCCGCUGAGCUACGGAAAACCUUUCACAAUUGCAUGCAGAGUAUCUCAAAACAGUGCUCCUCUAAAUUUUAUGUCUAGAGAUUAAAAACAAACAAACAAAAAAUUAAGCUAGUGUUUUUCUUUCCAUUUGUACUGUACAAAUAAGAACAGUGAUUCAACUGUUUGGGUAACAUGAGAGUUAUAUCUGAAAUGUAAAGCUUUGUUGCAAAGCAACAUAAAUUUGAGUCACAUGUCAUAUGUAUGUUAUACUUAGUUUCACACCGUCCUGUAGUUGUUGCUGUCCUGGCCACCUCACUUCCUCUUUGUCAAUCUGUACUCAGAUGGGUGCUUAGCACACUUCCUGCUUAGCCUCUGUCCCACAACUCCAGUUGUUCUGUGUAGGCUCUAUCUAUAGUAUCCUGUCAUUUUAAUCUAAGUUUUUAAGCAAUUAUUUACAACAUGUCAUUAUAACUCUUUUUGAUAGCUUAACUGUAUUGUUUAGGCUUUAUGGCAUCAUUCUGCAUUCUUGUUCAUUAAAUAUUUUUACUUUCUUGUAUAUUUCACAUUUUAAUUAGUCAAAAAAUACUUUGCAUAAAAAUGUCACUGUAAUAAAACUCUUAACUUCUACUUAUGUAUACUACUUAUAAAUUGUUUUUGCUAUGAAAUGGCUUCAGCUGAAUAUUAAAUCUGUAUUUGAGGGGACUUAUAUAACCAGUAGCUCUAGUAUAAUAGGAACAAAUGUUUGUUGACACUCUACCUUUGCUCUAGAAUGUUGUUCCACUAGCUGCAUAGCUUAACCAAAGGUGGCUAGGUCUACUGGAUCAGGCAGCGAAGUUACAGUUGUCAUCUCCAGAUGCUUAGCUCUGCUAUGCACUGGCACACUAACCUACAAGAAGACUAUUUCAUGAUAAAGUUUCUUUGUAGAAUCUUCAUUAAUAAUCCUUGUUGACAUUCUUAAUUAUCUGGUCUUCUUUUGAAUGCAGUUCCUUUUUAUUGUUUUGCUUCGGUUUAUACAAAAGAAAAAGGGGGGUUGUUUAUAAUUAUUUGCAGAAACCAAGUUAUGCAUUAAUUC